CAAACAGAAUUACUUCCGGUCUGGCCGCGUAGAUUGCGAUGUCUUCACAAGACUCCAUGUGCAGGGAAUCCGUAAGCCUUUGAAGCAAUACAUGGUCCGUGACAGUAAGGAAGAAAAGAAACUUUUCAAUCUGAUGGAAGGCUGUCUGCAGUAUGAACCGUCAAAGCGCCUCACAGCUGCGGAGUGUCUCCGUCACCCCUUCUUCAAAUACUUGCUCCAAGCCUCCGGUACCUGCAGGCAAUUCUUAUUCUAACGACCGCAAUGAAUUUAAAAAUUUCCACCAGCAGUUGGUUGAGUAUGAAAUGUAUGAGCUGAGGAGGGUUUACAAGUAUUUCUGGAAUGACCUAAUCUACGUUGUGGAAUGUUUGGACACUCACAGCCUCCUGAGGGAACUAAAGUCACGGACUCCACUUAAUCUAGAGAGCUACCCAAAAAUGAAAGAAGACCUUGGCGUCACCAGAUUUUCUACACAGUUGGUACAUGACAUUUUCAAGGAAGGAAGAGAUGCUGUUCUAGGAUUUUGGGAAAGCCUUCAUGCAGUACAGAGGGAUCACCCACAUCCUAAUUGGAUUGAGAUUUUGAGUGAAUUAAUCAAUACAGGUGAUACGCUGGUGCAGCAGAUCCUGCUGGAUAAAAACGGGCACAACUUGCCCCCAGAGGUGAAAGAUAUUCAGGAAAGGCAUAGGCAACAUCUUCUGGAGAAAACUCAGAGCUACGUGGAACACAAACCCCCAGGGUCUACCCAGGAACAGCAACAGUUCUACAUUUCUGAACGUUACAUCAAAUUGAUUGUUGUCUCUACCGAUCAUUUCAGACAGCGUCCUCAGAAUGAGCUGGUGCACACUGGGCAGAAACACGAGAAAUACUUAAAGAAGCAACAGAAUGAGCUGAAACAUAUUUAUCUCGAUAGGUUGUUCCACUGGUGUCACGAAUCAAAAUGUGUGCCACAUAGAGUAAUGGUGAGCGGAGUACCGGGCAUUGGGAAGACCACACUGAUGCAGAAGUUUGUCUAUGACUGGGUGCAUAGAAAACUCUAUCAGAGAUUUGCCUUUGUCUUCUUCUUCAAAUUCCGUGAGCUGAACAGACUGGAGAAGACCAGCUUGGAGGAGAUGGUCCUUCAGCAAUAUCCAUACCUUCAGAGUCAGCUUGGAAAUAUCUUACAGGAUCCAGAAAAACUGCUCUUUAUAUUUGAUGGCUUAGAUGAAAGCAUUCACCAAAUGGAUUUCACAUCAAAGAAAGUGUGCAGCAAUCCAAAACAGGUGGAAGAUACAAACACAAUUGUUGGUUGCUUAUUGAAAGACUUUCUUCUUAAGGGUUGCUCUGUGCUAAUGACCAGUCGUCCAACCAAACUAGUAGCAAUUGAUACUAAUGUCUUCCAACGAGUAACUGAAAUUAUGGGCUUCUUUUUUAGGGAAAGACAGAUGUACUUUGAACAUUUCUUCAGAAACAAGGAACUGUCGGAGAAGGCGUUUGAUUAUGUCAGGGAGAAUGACGCACUCUACACUUUCUGUUAUAUCCCAUCCUACUGUUGGAUCAUCUGUACGGUACUAUCAAUGUGCUUCAAGGCCCAACCGGCAAACCAUGAGCAGCUGAUGUUAAUAUUGCCCAAAACAGUAACUCAACUCUUUGGGACUUUUGUCGCCAACAUUCUGUCCAAUCACAGCCAGGAUAAAUGUGGUGCUCGCGAACUGGUGAAGUCCAUUGGGUGGAUGGCAGAACAUGGAGUAAUGAAUCAUCUUCUUAUAUUUGAUAAGCGAGAUUUGGGAUCUUUCAGUAUAGAUGAUUCCUCCCGUCUCUUGUCAAGUUUCAUGAUGGAAUCUGACCAACCACCUAAUAUCACCUAUUCCUUCUUACAUCUCACCAUCCAGGAGUUCCUUGCAGCAUUGUUUCACUAUCUUGAUAAUUGUCCGGAAAAGUUGAAAAAGUCUCUACAGAAAGCCCAAUCUUUUGAAGACUGUCGUGGGGAAGUUUUUGUUCGUUUUCUUUGUGGUCUAUCGGAUGUGUCCACCAGAUCCAUUCUGAAACCUUACCUAGGAGAAUUUACCAGUCAGUCAUCCAGGGACGUCAUCACCUGGCUUCAGAAACAUCGCCAUGAAUUAGAUGCUCUACUCACAAAUGAACAGGACAAAAGGAAGACUCUGAAUUUAUUCACCUAUUUCUAUGAAUCUAAAAAUAAGGCUCUAGUAUAUGAAACUCUCGGACCCAACAGAAAAUUAGAUUUUAAUCGUUUCUCCUUGACGCCUCUUGAUUGCACAGUCUUGUCAUUUAUUCUUGAGUCCUGCAGACAUACAGAGGAGCUCGAUGUUAGCAGUUGCUCAAUUGCAAAUGAGGGACUGGAGAGGCUUGCUCCAAAUCUACACACAGUUGUAGACCUCAGGGAAUGUUUAUUCCCCACUGCCCGCCCCUGGGUUCUUUAUAAACUGAGGAAAAGCACCAGAGCUGGGAGUCUGUAUGCAGGAGAUACACAGCGCUCUGUGACGUGCCAAGUCUUUGGGAUCUCUACGCUUUGGGAGGUGUAUAAGGUGUCCUCCUUGGUAUAACCAGAUCUGUAACGCUGCAGCCUGGGUGUUGGCAGAAGUAGGGUGCUGUGCCCUGGGAAGAGGGGAGUUUUUAUUCCCCACUGCCGGCCCCUGGGUUCUUUAUAAACAGGGGAAGAGCACCAGAGCUGGGAGUCUGUAUGCAGGAGAUACACAACGUCCUGUGACGUGCCAAGUCUUUGGGAUCUCUACGCUCUGGGGGUCUAUAAAGCAUCUUCCUUGGUAUAACCAGAUCUGUAACGUUGCAGCCUGGGUGUUGGCAGAAGUAGGGUGCUGUGCCUGGGAAGAAG